rnacentral:lncRNA from 1 species
GCAACUUUUUACACAAUCUAUACUCCAAUUAUAAACUUUGUAUGCCUUUAUUUAUUAAAUUAACUGAAUGAAAUUAGCUCACAUGGUUGACUGUAAAAAAAAAAAGUUGUUAUUUUAUUUUUAAAUUGUAACGUUUAUCUGAAUGACGUCAUCAAAACUGAUGCUGUGUGUGACGUUUAUGCGUAUAAAAGUGGCAGGUACUUGAUAUUACUGGAAACGUUUUGCAGUAAAACCAUUGAGUUUUUACCGAUUUUUACAAUGUGAAGUGUUACAGAUCGAAAAUCAUUCGAUAAUUUGUUUAAUAGUUUGUUGUUUAUUAAUUUAUUCAAUAAAACUGUUAGUUUAAAUUUAGAAGGUUAGCUCUGCAAAUAUAGUCGGUAUAUAGAAUCCGGGAAUAUCUCUUUUUAAAUGCACUAUUUUACCCCUCAUAUUUCUUGAGAAAUUUAGCCAUCUGGGGUUGGCUUAAACAUGGGUUGACUUCACUAGUUUUAAAAACAACAAAUAUUUAAGUUAUAACUUAUAAUGAAUAAUUUUGACAAUGCCGGUCUUCUAAAAUAAUUUCUGCGAAAACCAAAUAAACUUGACCCGGAUUUUUGUAUUUAUCAUUCUAAUACUUAAUUAUGGCAUACAAUCUGCAUACUCCGCCUUAUGUGUCCAUGUGUCUCACUUUGUUGUCAAUUCAAUAUUAGAAUACAUAUUCAAUUUUGAGUUAAGAUCGUGUUUUGAUUUACCCAUCACUUACUGCGUAUUUUUGGAUUUAUUUUUGUCCUUUGUUACUGUGUUUUGUUUUUUUUUUUUUUUUUUGGUGCUUGGUCCAAUUUUGACAAGUCAAGCUCUUUUUAAAAGUUUUUUUUCUAUCUGUUCUAAUAUUAAACUGGUACCCGACAUGUCAUGAUCAUCUCAUUUUAAAUGUUUCACAUUGAAUUAUAUAGUGACCAAUCGUGCACACAAAAAGAGAGGUAAAAGAUACCAAAGAG